UACGUAGGGGGCAAGCGUUGUCCGGAAUUAUUGGGCGUAAAGAGCGUGUAGGCGGUCCGGUAAGUCGGUUGUGAAAGUCCAGGGCUCAACCCUGGAAAGCGGGUGGAUACUGCCGGGCUAGAAUCCGGAAGAGGCGAGUGGAAUUCCUGGUGUAGCGGUGGAAUGCGCAGAUAUCAGGAGGAACACCAAUAGCGAAGGCAGCUCGCUGGGACGGUAUUGACGCUGAGGCGCGAAAGCGUGGGGAGCAAACAGG
rnacentral:rRNA from 1 species